rnacentral:lncRNA from 1 species
AUGGCGAUUCCAACCAGUCCACCUAGCUUGGGUCUCUCUUCCUCUUCUUACAAAGAUAAUAUUCACUUUACAAGCUUCUCCAGCGACCAGCAGGAGGGACCUUGCCAGUCCACAGUCUUGGAGCAGUCUCUCCCCGUCACGUGUGCUGGAUCUAGCGAGUGGCUGCAGAGUGAUGGGACACCACUUCUGGGACCGGGGGAAAGCAGUGUGACUUCCGUCUUGCCGUUUGUUCCUCGCUUUCUCUCUGUCCAGCGUCCAAGCUGUGAGCUGGCCCGUGGAGAGGCCCCCAAGGCCAGGGGGAAGCCUUCUGCCAACCACUGUAUGUGUGAACUUGCAGAUGAUCCCUCGCCGGCAGAGCCUGGGGGGAGCGUGCACACUCUGCUGACACCUUGGUGGCCCCUCAUGAGGAAGUCCAAGCCCAGGACCCAAGUGAGCCAGGAUAGAGGCCUCAACACAGGAAAGGCGCUAAUAAAUGCCGCUGUUGUCAUCUUAAGUGCUAAAUUUGGGAUUAAUUUUUAUAUAGCAAUAGAUAAUAAAUAUACCUGUCUCUUGGCGGAAGCAUUCCUUUAGAGUAUGUAUAAACAGGAAGAUUUUCUGUGCAUUCAAGGAUGAUAAGUUUUUCCAGAAAUGGGCUGACAUACAAUUUCUAUCCAGAGCCCUUCUAUUGCACAAAUAAUCACUAGGAGAGAGUUGUCAAGAUUUCAUUCAUCACACAAAAUUUAUGAGCUAGAGGGUUUUUUUUCCUGGUUUUUGUUUUGUUUUGUUUUGUUGUUUCUUGAGACAAGGUCUCACUAUGCAAUUCAGACUGGACUUGAACUCACUGGAUAGUCCGGGCUGGCCUCAAACUCACCGCAAUCCUCCUGCCUCAGCUGCCACCCCCAGUACUGAGGUCACAGGCAUGCCUCAACACACCCAGCACGGACUAGAGUUUUUAAACGUCAUGGGUGCCAAGAAGCAUCGCUAAGAAACGUAACUCCUAUAUUGACAUCUAGUCACUAGCUGAAAUGUGCAGGAGCCGCUUGCAUUUCCUGGGACGUCUCCAUAUCCAGCCUUCUGCUUUAAUCUCUCCCGAGUCAGUUUGCCCUUGCUAAAUCACAUGUCCUGAAUUGCAGAUCUCUCUAACCCUGAACUGUUCCUGAACUUGGCUUGUGCUUCAGUGGGUGCCCUGUGUCAGCUCAUCCAUCCGCCCUUCUCUGAGUUCCUCUUAUAACCUCUGCGCUCUGUAUGACAGAAGCUGUCACACAUCAGGGGCUGAGCACACGGAUGCAAAUGACAGGCGGCUGCAAGAAACCAUCCGGGAGUUCCCCAAAGGGAGGAACCCUUGGGAGCCAAAGAAACCUGAAGAGACGCAGUGAAGGAAGAAGACCUGGGGUGGAGCCAAGAGAUGACUUUACUCUUGCUGGUCAGAGCAAGGGGGAAAUCUGUGCACAGUCGAGGACCGGGACUGAACAUACGUAGAUACACGGGUCACUGAGAAGCACGAAGUGGGACACAGUGAAAUGAGUCUCUGAUUAAGACAAGGGGACACAACGAGGUGUGCGCUGAAGACCAGCUGGACAAGAACAGCGCUGCUGGUUCAGUGGUGUGUACUGGACAACUGUAAGAUGAAUCACGUGCCACGCCUGUGGCUUGCCCAGCGUGGAGGCCAGCGCUUUGCCUCUAUCAUCUCACGUUCUAUAAACAAAGCUCCCAUCAUGUGCCCUUUGCAGACAAGGACCCUGAGCGGUCAGGGGGUUAAAAACUCACUGGAGGUUGUAAGCUGCUAUGGGCAGGGCCAGAGUCAAGUCUAGGUCUGGCUGGCACCAAAGCCCAACCCUCAACACUACCCUGACAAAAGACCCAGCAGACCCACACCCACCUCUACGUGUUGUGAGGGGGAUCUCAGGUAACUGCUCCAUAGCCGGUCACCUGAGGACUCCACCUGCUGGCUACUGCCACGGAUAAAUGCGCGGAGCGGGGGUGGCCAGCUUCCUGGCUCCUGGAACUCUCAAAAAGCCGUGGCACUCUCGCUCCUCUUCUGCUCCCCAAGGUCACUUUCACCUGUAGAAUCUGGGUGCCGUGUUUGCUUUGCACACCAAAGCCUUACCCCUAGCGACUACACCAUAACUCUACGAACACAAAGGUGGGCGGUGUUGACUUACAACAUCCUUUCCUGGAGCUCUGAGCUACUGAUCCUAAACCUACUGAAUACACCUUUGUUCCCCUUGAGCCUGGCAACCGAUACCAGAGGCAGAUUGCCUAUUGCUUAAUACACUGCUGCUGGCUUUAGGCACAAGUGCAAAGCCUCAAGGGAAAUGGGAAGCUCUGACUUAUUUUGAAGGAAGAUAAAUUACAAAAGAUGUACACACAUUUACAAAGCUGAAGGGAGGUUUGUAUUUAUUACUCCUAAUUCAAUUCCUAAAUUUUACGUGAUAAUGUUCAAGACAUUUGUAUAAUAAGAAAAUAUCCCUCAGUCUUUCCAGAGACUGACAAUCUUUUAUUUCAAGGAAAAUAAAGUAUGUCCACAGCUUGUGUGCAAUAUUUUAAUUGACAGGACACAUUUUCGCACAGCGUGAUUAUUUAUGUUUGUUUGUUUUUCCCUAAUUGGCUCACCUAACGCAGCUUCACAUAAACCUUUAAGAGAUACCCCCAGUACUGCACUGUCGUGUGUAACCCAUUUUUACGGCAGAAUAAAUAGCUUUCCUCCAU